GCCGCUGCUGCCGGCGACGCGACGCAAUAAGCAGGCGUUGGCAAGUUGUGCCUGCUGCUGCAGUUCACCGACAAGCGCUUCCAGUCUAUCCACGACCUCAGUCCUCACCAUCGGCGUCGAGUUCGGGGCGCGGAUGACCACCAUCGAGCUCCAGAUUUGGGACACGGCUAUCAUCCCAUCGUCAUGACAGGCCAAACAAGGAUGAUGAUGAAUUGGAGAGUAUGAAGAAUGACAAGGACACUAAAGCUCACCUGGACAACGCUUGUCUUUGCACCUCAGCCUUGCUGGCAGCCAAGUCUAUGAUCUGGCCAAGAAUCAUUCAGAUCCAUAACUAGAUCAUACUACAGAGGGCGGCGUUGGUGCUCUUUUGGUCUACGAUAUCACCAGACUUUCAAUCACCUCGUGAGCUGUCCGGAGGAUGUGAGGCAGCACGCCAACGCCAACAUGAUGAUAAUGCUGAUUGGGAACAAAUGUGAUCUGUCUCACAGGCGUGCAAUGAGCUACGACGAAGGCGUGCAGUUUGCAAACGAACAUGGCCUGAUCUUCAUGGAGGCAUCUGCAAAAACCACACAGAACAUCGAGGAGGUCAUGCUUGGUUCUGGUGUGUUGGACAUAUGUGCAGUUAAGAACAUUCAAAAUUUUCUCAUCUGGAUAUUUAAACGAAGGCAUUUGUUAAGACUGCUGCAGCAUUCUACAAGAAAAUUUCAUUACUUUUCCUCUGCUUAGUAAAAAACAUAAUGAGCCCCUUCGAUGUUACUUUAAGCAUCAUUUACGCAUAUACUCAUGUACCUUCUGACUUAUGUUCCAUGUUUACUACAUACGGAUUGAAAUCUUACGAGGUC